UGCAAUGUCAGAGCUGCUGCUGCUUGCCCGAAGACUGACUCAGACUGGGCUGAUGCCCAGGUGAAACAGCUUGUAAAUCCAAGGCUGCGCUGUCCUGGUGUUUCAAUCUGCCGUGGGAAAUGAUGUCAUGGUCCUGGGCUCAACAGCAGGGUUUGGAGAAGACAACCUCUUCCCCCAGCUGCAUGCAGGGUACAUCCCUGCAGGGAUGGAUGCUCUGCAGCCCCUGCAUCUCACUGGUGCUUUGCACCAUUCAGCUAUUUCAGAAACGUCCUGAGGUUAUGCCCGGGUGCUGAUACAGAGACGUGACAGGGUUUUCCUCUCACAUCAAGCAGCUGUAAGCAGCUCUGUUUCAAAAUGACCAGCAAACAUCCUGAUCCCGUGAAAUCCUCAUGCAAACUCCUCCUGAGCUUCCUGGCCAGCCCCAUACUGGAGACAAGGGACAUCUUCCCAGUACAAACCUCCCAAGCAACAGCAUGCGAAAGCCAGCUAUUACAGCUUCUCUUCAAGGCUCUGUCGCCUUCCUUGAUUUCUAUUACA